rnacentral:rRNA from 1 species
CAGCAGCCGCGGGAAUACGAAGGGGGCUAGCGUUGUUCGGAUUUACUGGGCGUAAAGCGCACGUAGGCGGAUUCUUAAGUCAGAGGUGAAAUCCCAAGGCUCAACCUUGGAACUGCCUUUGAUACUGGGGAUCUUGAGUCCGGGAGAGGUGAGUGGAACUGCGAGUGUAGAGGUGAAAUUCGUAGAUAUUCGCAAGAACACCAGUGGCGAAGGCGGCUCACUGGCCCGGAACUGACGCUGAGGUGCGAAAGCGUGGGGAGCAAACAGGAUUAGAUACCCGAGUAGUCCCUGUCUCUUAUAC